rnacentral:rRNA from 1 species
UACGGGGGGGGGCAAGCGUUGUCCGGAAUCAUUGGGCGUAAAGAGCGUGUAGGCGGCCAGAAAAGUCCGCUGUGAAAACUCGAGGCUCAACUUCGAGCUGUCGGUGGAAACUUUCUGGCUAGAGUCCGGAAGAGGAGAAUGGAACUCCUGGUGUAGCGGUGAAAUGCGCAGAUAUCAGGAGGAACACCGGUGGCGAAGGCGGAUCUCUGGGCCUUACCUGACGCUCAGGUGCGAAAGCUAGGGGAGCGAACAGG